GGAGAGAUGGCCGAGUGGCUGAAGGCGCACGCUUGGAAAGCGUGUUUACGGUAUCCCCGUAACGGGGGUUCGAAUCCCCCUCUCUCCG
rnacentral:tRNA from 1 species